AGUGAUAAGAUGGUAGAACUGUGACAAGAAGAUGUACAUCAUCGUUUUUAUAAUAGCUGCACUGUGCGCUCAGGUAAGCUCACAUUAUGGCUGUUUUCUCAACUACACUGAAAAAACUUUGAAGAUUUCUAUACCUGAAAAGAUUUCAUAUGGUGAAACAUUGUUUACAAC